rnacentral:misc_RNA from 1 species
GAUGAAGAACGUAGCGAAAUGCGAUAAGUAAUGUGAAUUGCAGAAUUCAGUGAAUCAUCGAAUCUUUGAACGCACAUUGCGCCCGCCAGUAUUCUGGCGGGCAUGCCUGUUCGAGCGUCAUUUCAACCAUCAAGCCCCAGGCUUGUGUUGGGGACCUGCGGCUGCCGCAGGCCCUGAAAACCAGUGGCGGGCUCGCUGUCACACCGGGCGUAGUAGAUUUUAUCUCGCUCAGGGCGUGCUGCGGGUCCCGGCCGUUAAAAGCCUUUUUUUACCCAAGGUUGACCUCGGAUCAGGUAGGAAGACCCGCUGAACUUAAGCAUAUCAAAAGCGGAGGA